AUUGAACGCUGGCGGAAUGCUUUACACAUGCAAGUCGAACGGCAGCAUAGGUGCUUGCACCUGAUGGCGAGUGGCGAACGGGUGAGUAAUACAUCGGGACGUGCCCAGUCGUGGGGGAUAACGUAGCGAAAGUUACGCUAAUACCGCAUACGAUCUAAGGAUGAAAGCGGGGGACCGUAAGGCCUCGCGCGAUUGGAGCGGCCGAUGGCAGAUUAGGUAGUUGGUGAGGUAAAGGCUCACCAAGCCGACGAUCUGUGGCUGGUCUGAGAGGACGACCAGCCACACUGGGACUGAGACACGGCCCAGACUCCUACGGGAGGCAGCAGUGGGGAAUUUUGGACAAUGGACGCAAGUCUGAUCCAGCCAUUCCGCGUGCAGGACGAAGGCCUUCGGGUUGUAAACUGCUUUUGUACGGAACGAAAAAGCUCUUACUAAUACUAGGAGUCCAUGACGGUACCGUAAGAAUAAGCACCGGCUAACUACGUGCCAGCAGCCGCCGUAA
rnacentral:rRNA from 1 species